GACGAACGCUGGCGGCGUGCCUAAUACAUGCAAGUGGGACGCAAGGGAACACACUGUGCUUGCACACCGUGUUUUCUUGAGUCGCGAACGGGUGAGUAACGCGUAGGUAACCUGCCUAUUAGCGGGGGAUAACUAUUGGAAACGAUAGCUAAUACCGCAUAAUAUUAAUUAUUGCAUGAUAAUUGAUUGAAAGAUGCAAGCGCAUCACUAGUAGAUGGACCUGCGUUGUAUUAGCUAGUUGGUAAGGUAAGAGCUUACCAAGGCGACGAUACAUAGCCGACCUGAGAGGGUGAUCGGCCACACUGGGACUGAGACACGGCCCAGACUCCUACGGGAGGCAGCAGUAGGGAAUCUUCGGCAAUGGACGAAAGUCUGACCGAGCAACGCCGCGUGAGUGAAGAAGGUUUUCGGAUCGUAAAGCUCUGUUGUAAGUCAAGAACGUGUGUGAGAGUGGAAAGUUCACACAGUGACGGUAGCUUACCAGAAAGGCG
rnacentral:rRNA from 1 species